rnacentral:lncRNA from 1 species
GAGAUGGUGGAUAGACUGGAACCUUAUUGUGAACGUUGCCUUAUAGCAGACGGGGUAUCGAGGAAUAGUAUUUUUGGUGCUUAUACCGAAUGGGGUAUGGGGAUGGUCGGUUAGUUAACAAUAUUGAAUAUUGGUUCACGCAUAGUGGAACAUUCUUAUGGACCCCAAGGGAUAUCAGUAAGCAAAUAAAAAUAGAAGGUUAUUGUUCUUAUUCACUUGAAUAUG